AUUGAACGCUGGCGGCAGGCCUAACACAUGCAAGUCGAGCGGAGCGGCGGAGGGGUGCGUAAUGCCUAGGAAUCUGCCAGGUAGUGGGGGAUGACGUCAGGAAAUGGGCGCUAAUACCGCAUACUAUCAGAUGAGCCUAGGGCGGAUUAGCUAGUUGGGGGGGAAAAGGCCUACAAAGGCGACGAUCCGUAACUGGUCUGAGAGGAUGAUCAGUCAAACUGGAACUGAGACACGGUCCAGACUCCUACGGGAGGCAGCAGUGGGGAAUAUUGGACAAUGGGCGAAAGCCUGAUCCAGCCAUGCCGCGUGUGUGAAGAAGGCCUUCGGAUUGUAAAGCACUUUAAGUUGGGAGGCGUUACCAACAGAAUAAGCACCGGCUAACUUCGUGCCAGCAGCCGCGGUAAUAC
rnacentral:rRNA from 1 species